CUCCAGAUCUCCAGUUAGUGGAGGAUCCAUUUUCCAUGGUAGAGUGUGAGAUGUGAACAAAAAAGAGGCAAACAUCCAUUCUUGCCCCCUAUAAGUAGCUUAUCACAUCACACUAAGUUUAUUCUCUACUAGAGAGAGCUGUACAAACCAUUCAGUUCAACCAAUUUGAGCAGAAUUAUUACACUAAUGAAGAUAAGUGUGAUCAUGGUUGUUGGGCUGAUUUUUAUCAACCUAUGCACCUGCAUGCCAAGAAAUGUGGCGAACCAUGAAUCUCACGAUACAGUGGUGCCACAGAAGGAAAUGCGCAGUCUGAUGUCUGGCACUGCUGGAAGGAACCGGCCUCCGAGCAAUGAUCACCAGUGCCCACUUGGAACCUACCCUAAUUGCCAAGGGAUGUCCCAGAAUACUCAAGAAGCAGCUCAAGAUGUUGGAGGAAACUAAGGCAAACUAAGGGAUUAUGAGACGGAAUGAAUACCCCCAGUUUAUAUUGCUUUUACUUCCACGUACGGAGUCAUUUGGCAUGAGAUAUGUUCCAUGUUGUCAAUGUUUCUGCGUAAUCCGUCCAUGGCACCUUAUAUGCUACACACAAUCAAGUUCUCAGUAAUGUACCUAUCCUAUAUGCUACUGAUGUACUGGUUGAACUAACGGACA